rnacentral:rRNA from 1 species
AGUAACGCGUGGGAGCGUACCUUUUGGUUCGGAACAACACAGGGAAACUUGUGCUAAUACCGGAUAAGCCCUUACGGGGAAAGAUUUAUCGCCGAAAGAUCGGCCCGCGUCUGAUUAGCUAGUUGGUGAGGUAAUGGCUCACCAAGGCGACGAUCAGUAGCUGGUCUGAGAGGAUGAUCAGCCACAUUGGGACUGAGACACGGCCCAAACUCCUACGGGAGGCAGCAGUGGGGAAUAUUGGACAAUGGGGGCAACCCUGAUCCAGCCAUGCCGCGUGAGUGAUGAAGGCCCUAGGGUUGUAAAGCUCUUUUGUGCGGGAAGAUAAUGACGGUACCGCAAGAAUAAGCCCCGGCUAACUUCGUGCCAGCAGCCGCGGUAAUACGAAGGGGGCUAGCGUUGCUCGGAAUCACUGGGCGUAAAGGGUGCGUAGGCGGGUCUUUAAGUCAGGGGUGAAAUCCUGGAGCUCAACUCCAGAACUGCCUUUGAAACUGAAGAUCUUGAGUCCGGGAGAGGUGAGUGGAACUGCGAGUGUAGAGGUGAAAUUCGUAGAUAUUCGCAAGAACACCAGUGGCGAAGGCGGCUCACUGGCCCGGUACUGACGUUGAGGCACGAAAGCGUGGGGAGCAAACAGGAUUAGAUACCUGGUAGUCCACGCCGUAAACGAUGAAUGCCAGCCGUUAGUGGGUUUACUCACUAGUGGCGCAGCUAACGCUUUAAGCAUUCCGCCUGGGGAGUACGGUCGCAAGAUUAAAACUCAAAGGAAUUGACGGGGGCCCGCACAAGCGGUGGAGCAUGUGGUUUAAUUCGACGCAACGCGCAGAACCUUACCAGCCCUUGACAUGUCCAGGACCGGUCGCAGAGAUGUGACCCUCUCUUCGGAGCCUGGAGCACAGGUGCUGCAUGGCUGUCGUCAGCUCGUGUCGUGAGAUGUUGGGUUAAGUCCCGCAACGAGCGCAACCCCCGUCCUUAGUUGCUACCAUUUAGUUGAGCACUCUAAGGAGACUGCCGGUGAUAAGCCGCGAGGAAGGUGGGGAUGACGUCAAGUCCUCAUGGCCCUUACGGGCUGGGCUACACACGUGCUACAAUGGCGGUGACAAUGGGAUGCUAAGGGGCGACCCUUCGCAAAUCUCAAAAAGCCGUCUCAGUUCGGAUUGGGCUCUGCAACUCGAGCCCAUGAAGUUGGAAUCGCUAGUAA